ACAGCAAUGCAGUACGCACGGAGGUGGUUCGCCUGAACUGGUAGGCCGUGAUUUAUUUGGACGCCAAACUAAUCUUUGUCAUGAGUGCUGCAGUACUGACAACUGCAACAAACACCUUUGUGAACACUUUAAACCCUCGACGUGCAUCGAUGAUGUUAAAAUAGACUGUGGUUUCCUGAACACGGUGACAAAUAUAUGUCAAGACAUUCAACACGCAAAAACAAUCUGUCCUAAGUUUUGCGACCUCUGUUCUUUAGUUGACGGUAUGUGGUCUGAAUGGACAUCAUGGUCAGAUUGUGACGUCACGUGUGAUAAUGGCACACAAACAAGGACAAGGACAUGUACAAGUCCUCGACCGUCUAAUGGUGGUUUAAAUUGUUCUGGAAGCAUGACAGAUGUAAAAGCUUGUCAUAAACAACUUUGUCCUGUGCAUGGCGGAUGGACAAAGUGGUCCGACUGGGAGGCUUGCUCUGUUAGUUGUGAUACUGGAAUACAGAAACGUCAUCGCAAUUGCACGAACCCCUUUCCCUCAAGGUUUGGGGAUCACUGUUUUGGCGACUCAAUAGAUGUUCAGCUAUGUAAGCCAGGAACAUGCUCAGGUGAGAAUACAGAAAACAUGACUGAAUAGUUCAAAUGUAAUUGUUAAAAAAAUGUGCACAAAAUAUGUGUA